UCCCCGGCCGGCCCCUGCCGGGUCCGUCCCGUGCAGUAACAGGUGUGAGCAUUCAUGCAGCGUUUUGAUGGUCAUGUAUGAUACUGCACACAGCC
rnacentral:snoRNA from 1 species